AUUGAACGCUGGCGGCAUGCUUUACACAUGCUAGUCGAACGGCAGCGCGGGGCAACCUGGCGGCGAGUGGCGAACGGGUGAGUAAUAUAUCGGAACGUACCCAGAAGUGGGGGAUAACGUAGCGAAAGUUACGCUAAUACCGCAUACGAUCUACGGAUGAAAGUAGGGGACCGCAAGGCCUUAUGCUUUUGGAGCGGCCGAUAUCUGAUUAGCUAGUUGGCGAGGUAAAGGCUCACCAAGGCGACGAUCAGUAGCUGGUCUGAGAGGACGACCAGCCACACUGGAACUGAGACACGGUCCAGACUCCUACGGGAGGCAGCAGUGGGGAAUUUUGGACAAUGGGCGCAAGCCUGAUCCAGCAAUGCCGCGUGAGUGAAGAAGGCCUUCGGGUUGUAAAGCUCUUUUGUCAGGGAAGAAACGGUAGAGGCUAAUAUCCUUUGCUAAUGACGGUACCUGAAGAAUAAGCACCGGCUAACUACGUG
rnacentral:rRNA from 1 species